GACGAACGCUGGCGGCGUGCUUAACACAUGCAAGUCGAACGGAAAGGCCCUGCUUUUGUGGGGUGCUCGAGUGGCGAACGGGUGAGUAACACGUGAGUAACCUGCCCUUGACUUUGGGAUAACUUCAGGAAACUGGGGCUAAUACCGGAUAGGAGCUCCUGCUGCAUGGUGGGGGUUGGAAAGUUUCGGCGGUUGGGGAUGGACUCGCGGCUUAUCAGCUUGUUGGUGGGGUAGUGGCUUACCAAGGCUUUGACGGGUAGCCGGCCUGAGAGGGUGACCGGCCACAUUAGGACUGAGAUACGGCCCAGACUCCUACGGUAGGCAACAGUGGAGAAUAUUGCGCAAUGGGCGGAAGCCUGAUGCAGCAACGCCGCGUGCGGGAUGACGGCCUUCGGGUUGUAAACCGCUUUCGCCUGUGACGAAGCGUGAGUGACGGUAAUGGGUAAAGAAGCACCGGCUAACUACGUG
rnacentral:rRNA from 1 species